rnacentral:lncRNA from 1 species
GCUGCGCACUUCGGUCUUUUACGUCGGCCUUCGCGAGCGUCUGGGCGGGUGGUAGGAACAAUGGCGCUGUCUUCAGUGGCACAGUGGAGCAGCUCUGAAGAUGCAAAGUGAGGGUCGCUGUCUGCCCAUUGAUAGAGGCCAGAUUGUCUUGGAAGUUCCAAAGUUGCAACGAUUUCUUUAGUUGAAUCCAUGGACAUGAAACCCACAGAUAUAGAGGGUUGGCCCGGUGCAGUGGCUCACGCCUGUAAUCCCAGCACUUUGGGAGGCCAAGGCGGGUGGAUCACCUGAGGUCAGAAGCUUGAGACCAGCCUGGCCAACAUGGUAAAACCCCAUCUCUACUAAUAAUACAAAACAAUUUGCUGGGCAUGGUGGUGCACGCUUGUAAUCCAAGCUACUCCAGAGGCUGAGGCAGAAGAAUCGCUUGAAUCCGAGAGGCAAAGGUUGCAGUGAGCCCAGAUCACACCACUGCUCUCCAACCUGGGCAACAAGAGCAAAACUCCGUCAAAAAAAAAAGAUACAGGGUCAACUGUACACAUUAAACACUUCUAUCAACUAGUGAUGUCAGUCUUGUCCAUUGUAUUAUUGCCUAUCUUACUAAACAGUCAUAUUUCAGGAAGUACAAUAUACUCAAAAACUAAGUUAAUGUUCUUUGUAGAUUUAUGGUUAAUGGAUGAUUCAUAUAAUAGAAACUUAAAUUUAUUUGACCAUUCUAUUUAAUAUAGAAUAAAUACAACUAGCCAGGCAUGGUGGCUCAUGUCUAUAAUG